GACGAACGCUGGCGGCGUGCUUAACACAUGCAAGUCGAACGGUGAACCUCUUCGGUGGGGAUCAGUGGCGAACGGGUGGGUAACACGUGGGCAACCUGCUCCCGUCCCUGUGAUAACUCCAAGAAAUCGGGGCUAAUACCGUAUUUUCAGCGCUUCCCUCGAGGGGGGUGGUGAAAAGGGUGUGCGGCGGUAGAUGGGCCCGCGGCGUAUGAGCUUGGUGGUGUAGGAGUGGCCUCCCAAGGCGACGACGGGUAGCCGACCUGGGAGGGUGACCGCGCACCAUGGGCCUACGGCACGGACCAGUAUCCAACGGGCGGCAGCAGUCGGGAGUCUUGCGCAGUGGGGGGAAGCCUGAGGUAGAGGCGCCGGGUGCGUGAUGCCGGCCUACUGGUUGUAAACCUCUUUCAGCGGGGACGAAGCGGACGUGACGGUACCUGAAGAAGAAGCCACGGCUAACUACGUG
rnacentral:rRNA from 1 species